UGCCUGCUCUUUUUUUUCUGGUUUGCUUUUGGCUUAGAGCAUUAUCAGGCAGUCCCUGGGUUUAGUUUCUGCAUUCGUUUCACUGCUUUCAUAAAAGCGGCUCAGCAAUUUUGGAUGACCGAUAAGGAAUGAACUUUCUCUCACCCGCAGCUGCUCUGAUAUGAAUUUUUAAAAUCCCUCUGUACUGAACAAAUGCAGAAGAUACUAUUGACAAUUUUCAAAUAACUCAAAGAAUUUUCAUACAUAAAUACUCAGAGUUUUAUCUGAACAUGAUCUAAAUGCUCUGAAAACUUCCAAAGGCCCCACAAGUAUAAAGACACUUUCCUCAAAGUCAAAGGAGGAUUAAAAGUGAGAGAAAAAAAGACAAUACCAAGAAACAGGCUGGGCAAUAAGUUCCCCUGCAAGGUUUAGGAGUGAUAGCACUUGAGUCUAAAAACUGGUAACUGAGAAAGGCAACAUAGAGAUGGGAAUGGAGCAAAGGGCUGCCUUGACAAGAAGCAAUCCGGCAAGUUUUGACUCUACUGUGAUUUUCUUCCCCCUCCCAAAAAAGAAGAAAUAAAAAAAAGCCAACUUAUUUCAGUGUAAGCAUACUAAAUAACUGGCAUCUGUCCUGAAAUCUUGUAAAACAAAUUGUAGCUCUGUGCAAUUAAGUCGUCUGGAUUAUAGUAUCCUCCAAGAUUAGACAUCUCUAAUGGGAGUGUUGACAAGCCCUUCAGUGUAGCAAUGCAGUGGUGCCCCCUCAGAGAAAGAAGCAAAGCUCCUGGGAAAUAAUUAAAGAACGUUUUGGUCAGCCUGUGAUGCAAAUACAAAUUUUUCAGGUUUUGCAGAAAUAAACUGGAAACCCACAGAACAUCACCAAAAGAGACUAAGGAGACUGAGUGAUGCUUGUCCAAAUGGGCCCGAAAGGAAACAAAAAGGCUGGGAAGACAGAGGAUAAGAAGGUUUUGGAGUAGGAAAAUCUCUCCUCCCUGUCCUUCUAAUUUUUUAUUGUAGUCUGACGGUGGAGACAAAAGUAACUCAUCUUUUCAUUAAUCCCAAACCCUUCUCCUUCAUCUGGAAAACUGACAUCAAUUAUGACUUUGGAUUCACAUUGUACUAAUUCAGAAUCUUUUUAGGGAACAGUACUUGCAUAUCCAGAUCUGUUAUUUUCACCGGUCUAUGCCUCUAUUCUGUGUCAAGCAAAGCUUUUCUUGUUACCUUUUAACAGUGCUACAAAUAGUAGGGUCUGCUCCUUACAGGGACCAUACUUGGCCAGCUCAAUACUUCCAGCUGUUCUUCAGCUCUGUAACUUUUUGCUUCAAGAAGCAAAUUUAGUGCGGAAAAACAUCAAGGAAAAACAAAUAUUUUAAAAUUGAUUUCUUAAUUGUUGAUGGCUAUCUAACAAAGACAACUUUUGGUUAUUUUGGCAGUACAGUAAAUUUAACAGGUACCUGUGGGGCAUUUCUGGAUAAGAAAACAGUCAAACUUAAAUCAAGACUUGAAAAAUCAAGAGUCAUAAACUACAGGGAGGAGCCAAGUCACGAAGUCUCUUCUUUCUCUCCUUUCCCAGUCUUCGUCGUACAGCCAUGAUUCACUGAGAGAGUGUUUUGAACAUUUCCACAACUGCAAGCGUUUGGGCAGAAGGAAUGGGUGAAGGAAAUGUAUUUUAACAGUUAGCCAAUACAUGGUGGUCUCUCCUGAAAAAUUAAAAAGCAAGAAGUAGAUACAUCCAAGGCGUGAAAAGGAGAUAGGAUAUUUAAAUCACUUUUAUCAUUUUUUUGUACAUACUGAUGUUUAAAACAGUAUUGAUUAAUGAUACAGUAUUUUUCCUAAUGUACCCUAGAAUCCCUAAUUAGUGCUUGAGCCACCUGAAGGGAUUAUUUAAUUUUUAAAUAAUUUCUGCAGUGAAAUGAGGAGAUCCCAUGUUGGCUGCAUGAGCGUUCUUGCCAUUGCCCGUGGCUGGAGUUGCCUGAUGCCGUGAGUUUUCUGUUUCAUGGACCAUUGUGAGAGAAAAUCAUGUGCUGAGGGAGUAACCCAGCAAUGAAGGAGUAAAUAGCUGCUCUGAAGAUCAGCUUACUAAGAGGCAGACAUCUGAAUGAAGUGAGGUUCCUGGGGAGUCUGUGGCACCAGACAUGCCAAAAAGGGAGGCAUGAAACCCUGUUAUGUGCCAUGACCAAGCAAAAGGCGUUUUUACCUAGGCAGGAUUGGUGGUUAAUAUUCUACUCCUGUGCUGUGCUCACUGAAGCCCUGGAGUGCUUUUGUUCAUGAUCUGGGUCUUGUGCAGCACAUUUACAUGUGAUCAACUGUUGGAGUGGCUCAGUCACCUUGGUACAGAACAGGGCUCAGCUGAAAUGCCAAAGGCAGGAGCUUCGUUUGGGACAUGAGGAAAAACAAACAAAAAUAUCACAACUUUUUUUUUUCUUUUUCUUUUUUUCUUUGAUAAAAGCCUUAACAACAGCUUCCUUAAUUCAACCGGAUGGUGUGUCGUAUGGUUACAUUACAUCUGGUCAAAAGACUAAAGAUGAUUUAGCUUUUAACUAACUUUUUUUACUUUUAAUUGAGUUCGUUAGGCAUAAAUAGCAGAAUGACACAGCAUUUGUUUAACUCAGCAAUAUUCACAGCUUAAUUAAAUAAUUCACAUGCCAGUCUCUAAUCGUGACGUGAAAAGACCAAAAACCAAAUUAAAUAAUCAUAGCUCCCUGAGCCAAUUGCUUGGAAAAGAGGAGCAGGGUCUGUUGAGACAUAUGGCAAACAAUCUUUGCUGCAAACCAGCAAGCUAAAACACACCACUACUACCAUGUGGUAAGAGUACAUAUCCUUUUGCACAAUAUAUUUUCCAAACACACUCUCGCCAGGAGCAGCAGGUGUGUAACUGAACUUGGGUUUGAACAGACAAUUCGAGUACUAUGAAUUGGAAGGAAAGGGAGGAAGCUGGGAAAGGGGAUGAAAUAUCGUGAAUUAAAAUUGCAAUUUCCCUUAUAGCUUUUUUAAUUGUUAACUUAUAAGUUGGGAAUUUGUGAAAUGUGACAAAUAAGGAAGUAAUUGAGAAUGCCUGCUGCACUGAGAUCUGUCUCUGCCAACAUAUGUGUUCUCUGCUGUGGUGCUGUUGUUUAUGGUAAUCCUGGUGUGGCACAGGCAGGACGAAGGAUGUGUGCAGGGGGAUAUCCACUGGAGCCAGAAGGGCAGGACCUUGAAAAUUCCAUAUGAGGAUCCCAGAGUAGAGUAAGACACCGUGAGGAGAUUGGAACCUGUGCCAGCCUGCAGAGGCCUGUCCUCCAGCUGAGAACAGCUCAAGUGCAACGUGUGCUGGCCACGUGUCCUCCUGUGCCUUGUUCAUUUUUCCUUUGGGCCAAAAAGACAUGGGAAGAACCUGCCACCUCUGCCAGCUGUGCCAGAAAACUUCUUUCCUGAAGAAGUCGUGUGUGAUUGAUCUCUGAAGAAACUGCUGAGUUACAGUCCCACAAAUAACAUGGAAUUGCUGUCUGCUCGUGUUCUCUGGUAGUGAUUUUUUACCAGGAUUCUGUACCUGGCAACAGUACCUCAGCCCAUCUCUGGAUGAAUCCAGUCCAGCUCUGAAUAUCUUGAACACUAAGCACACAGAAAGAUU